rnacentral:sRNA from 1 species
UGUGCAAGUACUUUCUUUUUUCUUUCUUUCUAGACAAAUGGCAUGCUUUGAGAUUUCAAUCAAAGCUUAAAGAAGGUAGUGCCUCCACAAAAAUCCAAGGGCUAGUCUAACCAAAAUCCAGCACGAUUCAAGACACAUCACAUUCUUUCAACUUUCUAUCACAUCAUGGGACAGGCUAAACAACAGUAGCAUUGGUUCUAUCAGAGCAUGGGACAGGCUAAACAACAGUAGCAUUGGUUCUAUCAGAGCAUGGGACAGGCUAAACAACAGUAGCAUUGGUUCUAUCAGAGCAUGGGACAGGCUAAACAACAGUAGCAUUGGUUCUAUCAGAGCAUGGGACAGGCUAAACAACAGUAGCAUUGGUUCUAUCAGAGCAUGGGACAGGCUUAACAACAGUAGCAUUGAUUUCAUUGUUUCUUCUACUUAACGAUUUAAACGGCUUGAAAAUCAUGACCUUGCCAGAUAACUUAUGAACCACGACCUUGCCUGAUAACUUGAGAACCAUGACCUUAUCAGACAACACUUCUUUAGACAGGUAGACAGGCCUAGUAGUUGACAAAGCUAACUUUAUCCAAGCUCUUUUAAUUCUAUAGAAGCUACUUUACUAAAGAAGGCCCGUAAUAAUCACAGGUGGGUUAUAUUUGUAUAGUGUUCAGUGAUUAGAGAAUGCAUUGCCAGCACGAUUACAAUAUAAUGACAUUUUUUUUUACCUACGUAAAGAGUAAUGCCCCUUGAACUAGAGUUGUGUAACUUUAUACUAGUUGAAACGUAACAAAUCUAAUAGAUUGAGUUCGUUCAAGUCACAAAACAGCGUUAUGAAGUAGAUAUAGUGUGUCUACCUGUACAAUAAGUCCUAGCCUUUAAAGUUAGCUUUCCUCGAUUACUGGGCUGGUUAAGAUGCCGUGCCUUAUCUGGUCAUAUAGUAGGCCUAAUAGAGAGCAGCGUUUCUCAAACUGCAUGGCGCACUCCCAGGAGUGAAAGAAGUAUUGACACAAACAAAAGGGAGGAAGGAGGGGUGAAGAGGGUGAAAUUCUAUUUAAAGGGACAAAAAAUAUUUUGUAUUUGCAUUGUAUUUAUAAAUCUAUGUUUGAAUAUGAAUCACAUAAAAUGACUUUGUUACCAAUACUUUAAAUUAAAGUAAGAGGGUUGUUUCAUCUUCUAAUAAGGAACUUUAAAAAAAUGUAAUCCAUUUUCGCAAGAGGAGUCUGCAAUAAUAUCAACUAACAACUAAAAAAAAAA